rnacentral:rRNA from 1 species
CGCGUGGGAAUAUGCCCUUAGGUGGGGGAUAGCCCGGGGAAACUCGGAUUAAUACCGCAUAAUAUCUACGGAUCAAAGGAGGCCUCUUCUUGAAAGCUUUCGCCGAAGGAUUAGCCCGCGUUAGAUUAGCUUGUUGGUGAGGUAAUGGCUCACCAAGGCGACGAUCUAUAGCUGGUCUGAGAGGAUGAUCAGCCACACUGGAACUGAGACACGGUCCAGACUCCUACGGGAGGCAGCAGUGGGGAAUAUUGCACAAUGGGCGAAAGCCUGAUGCAGCCAUGCCGCGUGUGUGAAGAAGGC